CCAACAACAUGUGAAAGCUUUGCAGAGAUAUGAAGGGCAAAAGCGCUUGUGAGGUCUUUCUGUGAGCGCUUUCUGUGUCGCUUUGAAAAAAUCCUGAGCGAAUGAUACAGCAGAGUUGUCUGAGGAAACUGGCUACCAGAAGAGGUCUCUUGUUCAGUCUUUUACAAUUAAACUUCUGCCCGUCUCUGCUCUUCACUAAAUCCAGUUAAACAAAUCUAAAAUGGACAGAUGAAGACAUUAAGUCAAAUGGUGAUUUAGAGAGACCAUGCAAGAAGACCAGAAGAGGGUUUACCACAAGAAUAUGCCCUUGAUGUUUUUUCCUAAAGUGAGGCACCAUGGUGGAGCAAACACUCUUUUUUGCAGGCUUAAAAUUCAAGUUGGGAUGUUUCAGUUUUAUCUAGGCUGUAAUUGCAUCUGUAAUUACAUACCGUCUAAUCCCAAGAAAAGGCACCAUCAGUGCCAGAUAAAACUUACUUUUAGCCAAAGUAACCACAGGUUUUGCAUUAAUGCUUUUACUUUUGCCAUCCUUUUCUCCCGUGUGGCCGUAGACUGUAGUGUCCCACUUCCAUUGGAUCCAGGGCAGCAAUGUGUCCUCUGCAGAGGAGCUUAGUGCAGAGCUGAACCUAUGGGGUGGCAGGACAUCUCUUCCAGCCCUGCACAACCUGGGAGUUCUACAGCCUUUUGCCCAAGGAAGUCGAGUGCUCUGUAACUGCAGGCAGGACAGCACAAGUGAAGGAUUUUGGUCAAGUUACAAAAGAGUUUGUUAAGAAGUCUUCAUGCCCUAUGCCUGGAACCUGAGGCCAAAGAACUUCUGCUGCAUUUCAUCUGUGAAAUUUGGGAUUUAAAGAGAUAGGUGUGCAGAUGUGCUCUAAGAAAGAGCUAGCUCUAUCAGAUCAUGGCAAACAGGUGGAAAAGUUCAGCUGAAGCAAAGAGAGCUGCCUCUCUCAUGGGUACUUUGACCAGAUCUUCCUAAGGUAUCAUUUGUGGAUCACUUUAAUUAACUGGGCUGUCACACAGAAGCAGGUAUAUUUUAAUGCAGGCAGGCUCUGAGAAUUGAUAUAGAGACAAGUGUUUCAGAGUGAUCAAGUCACUGAUCUAAAUUCAGCUACAAGACUGGGUGAGUUGUCUGCAGGCAAGAGGUUAAUGUCAGCACAGUUCUUAGAAAAGACUGACUCUUAAAAUAUCAUAUCUGAAUGUAUGGUCUUCUCAAGCUACAAAAAUCUGUCAGGCCCACUGCCAAAAGGAAUUGGGUUGCACAUGCUUCAAAUUUGUUUCCUUGGUGCUCUGGCAGGAUGAUCUGCACACAUAUACAUUUCCAAAUCCAGGACAGCCCUUUUAUCUUUAAAUGGCAUCGGCUGCCAAGGCAUUUUCCUCCAGCAAUUGUACACCCUCUGGACGAACAUGUUGUAUUCCAUGGGAGUCAAACAUCGAGAAGGAAAAAUCCUGAUUAAUAAAAGCCACAGCUUGCUCUGCUAUCUCCUCUGCACAACAGCCUGCAAAGAUGUUCCAUCUAAAUACUUGUUCUGCAAGACUUCAGACUCACUGCACCUCUAUUUGUUUCCCCCAUGUUUUGCAGAGAAAGUCUGUUUUUCUACAAAAUGAAAGGCAAAUAGAAGUGUUACUAACUCAAAAUGCAAGUCUUCAUUUUUACAGCGAUCUUCCUGAGAAACACACAAGAAUUGAAUCAAACUGAAGCAAAACAUCUUCUCCAUGGCCCUGAGAACAAAUGAUAGAAAUCACUAGUUCCAGCUGAAGGUCUGAUUAUGUCAUCUCAGACACAAAAAAAAAAAAAAAAGGACGACUGGAAGGAUCCUAUGAAGAUAUGAAGAUAAGGAGUGGCUUCUGCUGAUGAAGAGCUAAAGCCUCAGAGCAUCCUGAAUCUGGAAAAACAGCCACAACAGAAACCUGUGGACAUGAGAGGUGCAAAACAAGGGGCACGGUUUUUAUCCCUGCCACUGGGUUCUGCAGGAGCCACAAGUGCAAAGGUGCCACUCUGGGGUGAGACAAAUUCAUGGAGUUUUGACUCUGUAUGUGAUUGCCAGGGUGCAGCUCCCUGACUGCUGGAGAUUGAAUGAGAUUUUUGUAUCCUUUCCCUAUUUUUGCACUCCAUUUUGUACCUUUGUUGAUGGCCAUUUCCACAGGCAAGACACACUCCAGAUGGACCCUUGAGCUGACAUUCCCUUCUUUUCUUCCAUUACACAUUCUUGCAUUGAGUGUAUCUGGACAGAGAAAGUUUCGAGAUGUAUAGAGGUAACAUAGUAGAGUUUAAGCAAACUAAAGACAAAUCUUGCUUGUGCUCUCUUAACCUAAAUGUAUCCACUGAAGAUAAUCCUGUUUCCUCAAGGAUUCAUCACACACCUUAGAGAUUUGUACUGAUUUAUUGGCCAUGAUUUAUUCAUGAUCUAAGAAGUGGUUGAUAUAGUCAUUGUUUGCAAAACCAUUAGAGAAGCCUCACUUUGAUGGCUUCUUUCUGGCCAGAAUUCAAGUUUAAAUAGAAUAUAAAUUAUUAUAUUGUGCCUCAAAGACUUUCUAUUUUGAUUUUUAGCUUUUCCUUUUCACAGUCUUGAGGGGCAACGAGCUUGUAGCAGUGUGUGAAUGAAGGUGUAACAGUACAGUCUUUGAUGACUUUUGUAUGCAGUCUCAGCAGCAGACUGUACUAUUUUCCCUAAAAUAAUUUUUAUUAUUACAUUGUGUAAUUUAAAAGCUCAUGGAGACCUAUUUCUAUCCUUAUUAAUGGUUAUUGGUGCCUUUAUUCAGAAGUGAAGAAACAUGAGACACUCUGACACUUAUGGAGUGUGGAAGUCCAUCACUUCAGCACUUUGGGGCAGAAUCUGCCCUGAUCCGUAGGGGCACAAAAGUCGUUUCUCAGCUCCUGCUGGAACCUGCCAGUUUUUUACUCCUCAGGUAAUCUGUCUCCCUCUGACAGUGUAGAGGGAUAGUCAAAUCUGGUCUUGAACUGGUCUUUUUUCAGAAAUUCUUACUGAUUGGACGUAUGAUGUCCCAUUGAAAGCAACUGAGCUACCCUUGGGUCAUCAUCACGGCCUGGUAGAACACCUGUUGGUGGAUAAAAUUGUUGUCUGCUUAUUUAACCAGCUCGUUGUUGCCAUUGGAUUUUGUUUAAAAUUUGUUUUGCUUAUUUGAAAUAAUAGCAUGGAUGCCCAUAAGAUUGUCACCAUUUUGUGUUAGAAAGAUAUAUCAUUAUUUUUUGUUCCCUAAUAUAUUAGGAGAGCGUUUUUAAUCCUGAGGGUUUCAAUAAAAUGUAUAAAUACAGCUGACAAUAAAACAGCUCUGCUGGUUUCAUUUUU